ACCCUGGGAUAGCUCAGCUGAUAGAGCAUGAGACCCUUAAUCUCAGAGUCAUGGGUUUGAGCCUCAUGUUGGGCA